AGAAACUAACAAGGAUUCCCCUAGUAACUGCGAGUGAAGCGGGAAAAGCUCAAAUUUAAAAUCUGACGGUCUCCGGCCGUCCGAGUUGUAGUCUGGAGAAGCGUUUUCCGCGUCGGCCCGUGUACAAGUUUCCUGGAACGGAGCGUCAUASAGGGUGAGAAUCCCGUCUCUGACACGGACCGCCGAUGCUUUGUGAUGCGCUCUCGAAGAGUCGAGUUGUUUGGGAAUGCAGCUCAAAAUGGGUGGUGAAUUCCAUCUAAAGCUAAAUAUUGGCGAGAGACCGAUAGCGAACAAGURCCGUGAGGGAAAGAUGAAAAGCRCUUUGGAAAGAGAGUUAAACAGUACGUGAAAUUGUUGAAAGGGAAACGCUUGAAGUCAGUCGCGUCCGCCGGGACUCAGCCUUGCAAUCUUGCUUGGUGUACUUUCUGGUGGACGGGCCAGCAUCAAUUUUGGUCGCCGGACAAAGGCUGGAGAAAUGUGGCACCUUCGGGUGUGUUAUAGUCUCUGGUCGCAUACGGCGGUCGGGAUUGAGGAACUCAGCAUGCCUUUAUGGUCGGGGUUCGCCCACGUUCAUGCUUAGGAUGCUGGCGUAAUGGCUUUAAACGACCCGUCUUGAAACACGGACCAAGGAGUCUAACAUGCCCGCGAGUGUUCGGGUGGAAAACCCGUGCGCGUAAUGAAAGUGAAAGUUGGGACCUCUGUCGUGGAGGGCACCGACGCCCGGACCAGAACUUCUGUGACGGAUCUGCGGUAGAGCGUGUAUGUUGGGACCCGAAAGAUGGUGAACUAUGCCUGAAUAGGGUGAAGCCAGAGGAAACUCUGGUGGAGGCUCGUAGCGAUUCUGACGUGCAAAUCGAUCGUCAAAUUUGGGUAUAGGGGCGAAAGACUAAUCGAACC
rnacentral:rRNA from 1 species